CGCGCAGGCGGCCAUUCAAGUCAGGGGUGAAAGCCCGGAGCUCAACUCCGGAAUUGCCUUUGAAACUGUUUGGCUUGAGUACGGGAGAGGUGAGUGGAAUUCCCAGUGUAGAGGUGAAAUUCGUAGAUAUUGGGAAGAACACCGGUGGCGAAGACGGCUCACUGGCCCGUUUCUGACGCUCAAGCGCGACAGCGUGGGGAUCAAACAGGAUUAGAUACCCUGGUAGUCCACGCCGUAAACGAUGAAUGCUAGCCGUUGGGCAGCUUGCUGUUCAGUGGCGCAGCUAACGCAUUAAGCAUUCCGCCUGGGGAGUACGGCCGCAAGGUUGAA
rnacentral:rRNA from 1 species